rnacentral:rRNA from 1 species
AGAACGAACGCUGGCGGCAUGCCUAACACAUGCAAGUCGAACGAGACCUUCGGGUCUAGUGGCGCACGGGUGCGUAACGCGUGGGAAUCUGCCCUUGGGUUCGGAAUAACAGUUGGAAACGACUGCUAAUACCGGAUGAUGACGUAAGUCCAAAGAUUUAUCGCCCAGGGAUGAGCCCGCGUAGGAUUAGCUAGUUGGUGAGGUAAAGGCUCACCAAGGCGACGAUCCUUAGCUGGUCUGAGAGGAUGAUCAGCCACACUGGGACUGAGACACGGCCCAGACUCCUACGGGAGGCAGCAGUGGGGAAUAUUGGACAAGUGGGCGAAAGCCUGAUCCAGCAAUGCCGCGUGAGUGAGUGAAGGCCUUAGGGUUGUAAAAGUCUUCGUUUUACCCGGGUAUGAUAAUGACGAGUACCGGGAGAAGUAAGCGUCCGGCUAACCUCCGUGCCAGCAGCCCGCGGU